CGAAAAAAAAAAAAACGAUUAUUAUUUAUUAUGUGCGCUCGCGCGCGCGUGUGUGUGAAAAAAAAAAAAAAUCACCGCGACGGCGGGCCGUAACGCGUCGUAUAUUAUAUACUGUUUAACGGCGGCGGUCCGGGAGCGUGUAUACUUUGACGAGAAAUUCGUAAAACCAACUGACGAGUAGGAAAAAAAAAAACCCCGCGGUACGUGCGUUGGUACGUAUGCGAGGUACGCACGGGAUGCGUCGUUGUACACGUUGCGCCGGGACUACGACGGCGACACGAGAACCAUAUUGUGUCUCGAAAUCGCGGCUUCUCGCUCCGGGUAUUGAAUUUUUUUUAUUAUUAUUAUUAUUAUUUUUUUUUUUUUUUAUUUAUUACAAUACAAUUUGAAAUCGGACGGACGUUCGUCGAGUGUGCGGUUGGCGGCGGCGGCGUAGAGACAGAUAGAAAAAUAAAAAAUCGAAAUAAACGAACGAACGAACGAACGAACGAACGACGGGUCUGACGGCGGCGACGGCGGUUAUUAUCUUUCGCAAAGCGUAUUAACUGCUACGGCGGCGGCGGCGUGGGUACGAUAACGGCGGUGCCAGCACGCCAGCUGAUCGGGACGUCGCAUUUCGGCCGCGACAAACAAAACGACGACGUGUGCCUGCUAUGCGGCGCGUCCGGUGCGGUGUCUCUCGUGGGCCCGAUCGUCGCCGUCGACGGCGCGGAAAACCGGCGUGCGGUGCCUGUGUGCGCCGCUGUGCUGCGGCGAGCCGAGUCGUAGUCG